UAGGGAAUAUUGGUCAAUGGGUGAGAGCCUGAACCAGCCAUGCCGCGUGCAGGAAGACGGCCUUCUGGGUUGUAAACUGCUUUUAUCUGGGGAUAAAAAGCCCAUGCGUGGGACAUUGAAGGUACCAGAUGAAUAAGCACCGGCUAACUACGUGCCAGCAGCCGCGGUAAUACGUAGGGUGCAAGCGUUGUCCGGAUUUAUUGGGUUUAAAGGGUGCGUAGGCGGUCUAUUAAGUCAGUGGUGAAAUCCAACAGCUCAACUGUUGAUGUGCCAAUGAUACUGAUGGACUUGAGUACAGACGAGGUAGGCGGAAUUGACAGUGUAGCGGUGAAAUGCAUAGAUAUUGUCAAGAACACCGAUAGCGAAGGCAGCUUGCUAGCCUGUAACUGACGCUGAGGCACG
rnacentral:rRNA from 1 species